rnacentral:lncRNA from 1 species
AAUUGUUGAGCCAGUGUGUUGGAAUGGGUGUUUUCCUAAAUCUGCUUUAGAUGCAAGCUGGCAAGACCCUUUGGCAUCUGUGAGAAGCAUCAUGCAUCUCUGAUCUGCCUCCACAUCUCCUUAUUGGAAUUGCACAGAGGAGGGAGAGCCAAUGACCUUUACUGACAACUGGUACCCACGGUCAGAGCAAAUCUCCACGGUUGUGGGGAAAGGAGCAGGCUGCUGCCAUGUAAUACCAGUACUGUAUGGAGGUUCAACUCUGACAGCAACAGAAUCAGAUUUCCACAUCCUUCAUGCUGCAUUGAUGUCUAUGAUAUUUUAAUACAAAGAGACGCUGGACUUGGCCAGUGAGAAAGUUUGCUGUUUUAUUUUCAGAGCAUGGUGACAGCAGUGGUGGAAAGAACCCCAAGUCUGCAAGGAACUGCUCGUCGCAACUCUGGAAAGACUUCUAUCAGAAUGAAUGGCAUGUCAGGAAGACAGAAAAUAGGGUGCAACUUAGUCUCGGAUGCUUGCAUUUGUUCCUGGGAUUCUAAAUCUACCCAGCAAGGACUCACUCCAUCAAACAUGAGGCUGAGCAGAAAGAAUCUUUCGGGAUUAUAAUUAGAAAAUUCACAAUCAGAAUUCCUUUGUAAAUGGAGGUAGGAUAUUUGAAAGCAAAAGUCGAUGCUUGAAUGCGCCCCCACCCCGCAAGGUACCCAGUUCAUCUCCCACCUACAUUUCUAUUCUUGUUUAGAGAACAAUAGGUGGAACAUUCUGCUAAGUGUGUGGAAGGGAAGAAAGACAGCAGGGAAGGGGGGCAGAGGGGAGGCCUUCAUCCCAUCCGCAUUACCUAGAGUUUGAUUGACUAUGCAGCCAAGUCUCUUUUCAGAUGUUCAAGUUUGAAAAGGACUGGAGACGUGCCUGAGAAGGACCCAAAGCAGAUGCCAAGGAGGAAGUAUCUGCAUCCACACCCACCAAGGCCCCUGUCAUUGGAAAGGACUACUUGGGACACUACAUCAUGUGGGGCAUCUAAUGCCAAAUGCGCUGUGAUCUGCCUCUCAGUGCCCAAUUUCAGAAGUCAUCAGGGGUCGUUUUCCCAAAGUAUGAGGGCAACAUUUUUUUUUCUUUUUUUCCUCUUUCCACAAAAAGUUUAAUGCUAAUCAAAGCAGAAUGCCUAAUCAGUUCAAGAUGGCCUGUCAGCUUG